rnacentral:rRNA from 1 species
UGCGAGUGAAGAGGGAAGAGCUCAAAUUUAAAAUCUGAUGGUCAAUUUGGCUGUCCGAGUUGUAAGUUAGAGAAGCGUUAUCCGCGCUGGCCUGUGCAAAAGUCUCUUGGAAAAGGGCAUCAUAGAGGGUGACAAUCCCGUCUUUGGCACAGAUCACCAGGGCUUUAGUGAUGCGCUCUCGAUGAGUCGAGUUGUUUGGGAAUGCAGCUCUAAAUGGGUGGUAAAUUCCAUCUAAAGCUAAAUAUUGGCGAGAAACCGAUAGCGCACAAGUACCGUGAGGGAAAGAUGAAAAGAACUUUGAAAAGAGAGUCAAACAGUACGUGAAAUUGUUGAAAGGGAAACGCUUGAAGUCAGUCACAUCCUUUGGAAAUCAACUUGACUUUUUGGUUGAGUGCACUUUCCAUUUGGAUGGGUCAGCAUCAAUUUUGACUGUCAGAUAAAGACCUUGGGAAAGUGACAUCAUUUAUGAUGUGUUAUAGCCCURGGUUCAGAUAUGACAGUUGGGAUUGAGGAACUCGAAAAGAYAUUCUUGUCUUUUCUAGGAUGCUGGCAUAAAUGGCUUUAAUCGACCCGUCUUGAAACACGGACCAAGGAGUCUAACAUGCAUGCGAGUGUUUGGGUGGAAAACUCUUGCGCGUAAUGAAAGUGAAAGUUGGGAACCCUGUCGUGGGGUGCACCGACGCCCGGACCCGACCUUUUGUGAGGGACCUGCGGUAGAGCAUGUAUGUUGGGACCCGAAAGAUGGUGAACUAUGCCUGAAUAGGGUGAAGCCAGAGGAAACUCUGGUGGAGGCUCGUAGCGAUUCUGACGUGCAAAUCGAUCGUCGAAUUUGGGUA